CUCCUACGGGAGGCAGCAGUGGGGAAUAUUGGACAAUGGGCGAAAGCCUGAUCCAGCAAUGCCGCGUGAGUGAUGAAGGCCUUCGGGUUGUAAAGCUCUGUCAGUGGGAACGAAUAAGCCGUUUAAUACACGGUGGUGACGGUACCCACAAAGGAAGCACCGGCUAACUCUGUGCCAGCAGCCGCGGUAAUACAGAGGGUGCAAGCGUUGUUCGGAAUUACUGGGCGUAAAGCGCGUGUAGGCGGUUUGAUAAGUUGGGUGUGAAAUCCCUCGGCUUAACCGAGGAACUGCAUCCAAAACUAUCAGACUUGAGUAUCGGAGGGGGUGGCGGAAUUCCUGGUGUAGAGGUGAAAUUCGUAGAUAUCAGGAGGAACACCCGUGGCGAAGGCGGCCACCUGGAAGAUUACUGACGCUGAGACGCGAAAGCGUGGGGAGCAAACAGGAUUAGAUACCCUGGUAGUCCACGCCGUAAACUAUGAGUGCUAGGUGUUGUGGGUAUUGACCCCUACAGUGCCAAAGCUAACGCGUUAAGC
rnacentral:rRNA from 1 species